CCUACGGGUGGCUGCAGUGGGGAAUAUUGGACAAUGGGGGCAACCCUGAUCCAGCCAUGCCGCGUGUGUGAAGAAGGCCCUCGGGUUGUAAAGCACUUUCAGUGAGGAAGAACGCCUGGUGGUUAAUACCCAUCAGGAAAGACAUCACUCACAGAAGAAGCACCGGCUAACUCCGUGCCAGCAGCCGCGGUAAUACGGAGGGUGCGAGCGUUAAUCGGAAUUACUGGGCGUAAAGCGCGCGUAGGUGGCUUGAUAAGCCGGUUGUGAAAGCCCCGGGCUCAACCUGGGAACGGCAUCCGGAACUGUCAAGCUAGAGUGCAGGAGAGGAAGGUAGAAUUCCCGGUGUAGCGGUGAAAUGCGUAGAGAUCGGGAGGAAUACCAGUGGCGAAGGCGGCCUUCUGGACUGACACUGACCCUGAGGUGCGAAAGCGUGGGUAGCAAACAGGAUUAGAUACCCUGGUAGUC
rnacentral:rRNA from 1 species